rnacentral:lncRNA from 1 species
UUGUCGUCUUUAGUGUGAAUUGCCAAAAAGGAAAAAAUGUGGUUAUCGUUAAGAGGUCACGUGCUUUGAUUACUAUUCAUCCAUUCAGACAUGAAAAAAGUGAUGAAUUUAUUUAUUUUUUUAUUUGUUUAUUUUCCAGGGAGAAAAUCGAUGAUUUUAUUAGUAGUUACUGACUAGAUGAUUUUAAAAGUCCUGUCCAGACAUAUUGUUUAC